rnacentral:rRNA from 1 species
ACGGGUGAGUAACGCGUAAAUAACGUGCCCCUUGGCUUGGGAUAGCUGGUCGAAAGGCCAGGUAAUACCGGAUGUGGUCCUCGCGAGGCAUUUCGUGGGGAAGAAAGCAGCAACGCACCAGGGGAUCGGUUUGCGACCUAUCAGCUUGUUGGCGGGGUAACGGCCCACCAAGGCUUCGACGGGUAGCCGGUCUGAGAGGAUGAUCGGCCACACUGGCACUGAGAUACGGGCCAGACUCCUACGGGAGGCAGCAGUGAGGAAUUUUGCGCAAUGGGCGAAAGCCUGACGCAGCGACGCCGCGUGCGGGAUGAAGGUCUUCGGAUCGUAAACCGCUGUCAGUGGGGAAGAGAACGGACGGUACCCGCUGAGGAAGCUUCGGCUAACUACGUGCCAGCAGCCGCGGUAAUACGUAGGAAGCAAGCGUUGUCCGGAUUUACUGGGCGUAAAGGGCGUGUAGGCGGAGCGGCGCAUCCUGGAGUAAAUCCAUCGGCUCAACUGAUGGGCUUUCUGGGAGAUGGCCGCCCUUGAGGACAGCAGAGGAAAGUGGAAUUCCCGGU